rnacentral:rRNA from 1 species
UACGGGGGAUGCAAGUGUUAUCCGGAAUAAUUGGGCGUAAAGAGCUCGUAGGCGGUUUGUCGCGUCGAAUGUGAGAACCCGGGGCUCAACCCCGGGCCUGCAUUCGAUACGGGCAGACUAGAGUUCGGUAGGGGAGUCUGGAAUUCCUGGUGUAGCGGUGAAAUGCGCAGAUAUCAGGAGGAACACCGGUGGCGAAGGCGGGACUCUGGGCCGAUACUGACGCUGAGGAGCGAAAGCGUGGGGAGCAAACAGG